rnacentral:rRNA from 1 species
GAUGAACGCUAGCUACAAGCUUAACACAUGCAAGUCGAGGGGUAACGAGAGGAAAGCUUGCUUUCCUUGUCGACGACCGGCGCACGGGUGAGUAACGCGUAUCCAACCUGCCCCCAACUAGGGAAUAACCUUGCGAAAGUAAGACUAAUACCCUAUAAUUUCCUCAGAUGACAUCUGACGAGGAAUAAAGAUUUAUCGGUUGUGGAUGGGGAUGCGUCUGAUUAGCUUGUUGGCGGGGUAACGGCCCACCAAGGCAACGAUCAGUAGGGGUUCUGAGAGGAAGGUCCCCCACAUUGGAACUGAGACACGGUCCAAACUCCUACGGGAGGCAGCAGUGAGGAAUACUGGUCAAUGGGCGGAAGCCUGAACCAGCCAAGUAGCGUGCAGGAUGACGGCCCUAUGGGUUGUAAACUGCUUUUAUACAGGAAUAAAGUUAGCCACGUGUGGUUAUUUGUAGGUACUGUAUGAAUAAGGACCGGCUAAUUCCGUGCCAGCCGCCGCAGUAA